UCUCAUGACGAAAGUACGAGUAAGAGAAUGAUCAUCGAAUGAUAAGUCUCAUCGGGAAGAUUUUCGAGUAGAAUAUAGAUAAGUACACGAUCAAUUGUUUAAAUUAAUUAAAUAGAGAUUUUCUAUAUUGUUCGAAUAACACAAUACAUGCUAUAUUUUAAAUAUAUAUUUUUUACACAUUCAAAUUUUGCAUAAAUACGUAUCAAUAUCUACAGUUUACAAAUUCCCAACGAGAACAGAAGAAGAAGGCACGCCGUUUGCGAUAUAAAUAUACAUGUGUUGCGAGAUAAAAGUUUUUCAAUGAGAUGGCACGCUCAAUCCGUGGACAAAUGAGCGACUCCUGUUUCUCUUAUCGCGGAUUCGCAAUCGUAAGUUACGAUUCGGGAAUACGGGUUGGAAUCUCGUGGAAACUUGGUCGAAUCUCAUUAUCGGUAGUCUGCGCGUAUCCCACGUUUCAUUUAAUCGAGUUUCCCCCGGGGUCUCGCUUCUCAAUUAGCAUUUUUCGACCUCCGCGACCACGUUGAUCGAAACCCAACGAAAAUCUCUAAACUUUUACUGUCGCGGUUACCAGAAUACCAGAGUCGCAUUCCCCUUCGAUCUCGAUACUUGCGCGUGGAAAAGGAUAAAAAGAUAAAAAGUUGGUGGUUCCCCUCUCGUGAGAAUGAAAUUAGUACUUGUUGUCCAGAUUCCUACCUCAAAUUGGUCUUCCCCUUUUAAAUCUAUUUAAUUGACUCUGGAACUUGGUUCGUCCGCGUAUUUUUUAUCCAGAUAAAAGAUAAUCGAGAUAGACAAUUAUAUUUCUGCAUUUGCAUUUGGGAUCGGCAAUUGGCGUUUAACCAAUAAACAAGAUGAAAUUGGUUUGGAAUUUCAUUCUUUUAAGUGACACAGCACAAUAUUAAUCGCAUAUUUUUCACCGAUAUGGUUUUUGUAUCCGUGAUAAUUUUGCUUUGAUAUACUUCAUGCCUUUAGUACGCACUAAGCAUGAUGAUCAAUUCGUUAUCUUCCUCUUGUAUAUGUUGUAAUAGGUCAAGAGACACAGAGUUUAGAAAGAAAAAAAUUAUCAUACGUAUUGGAAUAUGUAUUAAUACGAAUAGUAAAUAAAAUGGAUUGGUUUCCAAAAUGAUGGGACAAAUAAUUGAAAGAAAAGUGAAGAGAAUCCAAAAUCCAUAACUUAAUAAAGGAAAUCUAAUAUUGUUCAAGAUUUUUAAUAAAUUUUCCAAAAUCGAAGUGCUCGAUAUUCAAUUUUUUUCUUAAACUCUGCCGAAUAUAUUUAUCCGAUUAAUUUACAAAGAAUGUUCUACCAAUCCUUCACAAUUAAUCUCAAACGAAGCAAGCAAGCCUCUCCUUUCGCUUCGUCCGAUAACGAAGCCAAGGCUCGAGUGUCUCCGAAAACAAGGCAUCCACGGCUCCAUUAUCCGAAAACUGCAAUCGUCGAGUAGUCUGUUUACCAUCGCAUCGAGUUAAUCAUCCUCGGAGAAGCUCACGUCGAGCUGGCCCACGUCCAACCAGCGAGACAAGAGGCGCGCCUUGGCCGCACGGCGAACAAAGUUUACCCUGUGCGCGCAUCGUGGAACGUGUACUGACUGCCAUCGAGUCCCAAGACCGUUGUCACAGACGAGAUAAGAGGGGUGUUAGCAGUUGGCCGACGAAGCCGCGCAAUCAAACGAACCGCUAUUUCCCGCGCUCGGCCCACUCGACGAAGCUUUGCGUGCCCGCGUCACCGUCGUCGACGUUUGCCGUGUCCUUCGUACGUGAAAGAAAUUCGAUUCACAAUGGAAAUUGAAGUAGGCAGACAGUUGAAAUUCCCUGUGUGCUCUGGUGUCGAGAGUGCGAGUCAGUAGGGAGGAAAAAGGGGGAAAGGGAAGGACGGAAAGUGACAUGAAUAAACUACAAGGAGAGAGAGAGAGAGAGAAGGAGGGAGGUGGUGAUGACCCACUGGAUAAGAAACUAGGUGGAACGAUAAAUGUUGUUAAUGGAUUGUACUUGAUUGGGAAAUACCGAUACUGAGAGAGGGAUCUUGUUGUUUGAUUCCGUUUGAUCUUGUUCGAGAGUCGAUUACAUCGGCUAAUUGUUCUUACAUUAGUCAGAGUGACGUGCGAAAAAAUCCUUUUGCCUUUGUUUAAUCUUGAUCUGGUGGAGUUUAGGAUGAAAUGAUAUUUCGCGUUCGUUGAAUUUGAUCACAAUUAAUUUCACUUAGAAAUUAUUAUAUAUUUUUCACCAAAUCAAUCACCAUAAAAAAUCUACGAUAUUCCACUUUCCUAUUAGUCCUAUUACAGAAGAGAAUGAUCUGAAAAUUCCUCGUUAAACAAACAACGACGAUCCUGCUCAAGAUGAAAAUCGCGCAGAUUGAAUCUGACCAAUUAUUAUCUCUUUCGCUGCCGUUAUUUGGAACUCCCAAAGUGCCUCUGUUUGCGAGCCCGCGGCGUACGUGAUCGGAAACCCUCUGAAUUUCGAUACCAGUUUCAUUUUUCUAACCGCUUCGUUACGCUCGCAGCAUCAAGCGGCAAUCUUUUGGCUGCGAGGUGCUCGAGGAAAUGAUACGCGGCCAUCAAAUCGAUACGAUUCGUAAGUAGCCGGAUAUCGAAUUCGAUCGUCCCUUCCCUUUGCGCCGUUCCUCUGUUUUUCACCCUUCUGUUUGUUCUUUCGCUUCGUUUCGAACACGCCGCAAUUGGACCACGAACGGUCGUUUCGCGUCGACUGAUUUCACAGAUUUUGUUACUGCAUCUUGACCGCUGUUAAUGAUAUUGGUUUUCUUUUUCCUUCCUCCUUUCUUUUUUUCCGUUUUGCGGUUUCGUCGAAAGCGAGAUACACUUUUUUCUUUCUUCGGCUACGUGAAAUUUCUAACCGUGUCGAUACCCGUUCACGGAACUUUUGAAGCGAUUCAAGAUGCUUCGAGAUGAUUUAUCGUAUAUCGUAUUCGCGCGACACACAAAAAAAGAAGUAUUAUCAUGUUUUGAAGAUCUUUUGAAACAGAAAUAUCGAUCAAGACUCUACAUUUUUAUCGUUCAAAGGAAAAAAGAAACUGUGGAUUUGGAUUGGAUCUUUUGAGAGGAGGUAUUAAUCAUUUCCAUUUAAAAGUUUUGCUUCCACGUUAUUAACCUAUUGAUCCUUUUCGAUUGUUAUUAAUUCUCGGAUGGAUAAAUCACACUUUAUCUGUUUAUUUUUUUCCGCAAAUGUUGCACAGGUCUACUCAAUUAACACCGCGAAGAUUCACUAUUUUACCAAUCCAGAAACGAUAUUUGUUAUCAAAAUGGCGGUUCGUCCGGUUCUGACUGAAUUUAUUAUCACUUAUUCCCCUCCCUGUUUCGCGUAAACAUCAAAUUUCCCGUAAUUGAACGGCCAUCACUCCCGUGGCCGGUGAAAUUUCUUCUUUUCGUAUAUAUAAAGCUCACAGGAUAAAAUUGAUAGAAGCAUGGAAUUGCUUUCAGUUUGAUUGCGCGACUGGUGGAACGUCUAAUUACCGACACCGAAUCGCAAUGUGCCGGCUGGUCGAGUUUACGGCCAGAAAAGUCGCUCUUCCUUUCAUCUGCAAUUUAUUCCCUCUUUGAUACCGUGCCGUAACUAAAUUGGAUUCACUUUAUGGAAUCUUUUUUUUUUUCUUCUUCCCCUCUUCGAUGCAAAAGUGUUUCGAGAAAUAUCCUUAUCAACCGAUAGAACGAAGUCCGCUUGCUUGCUAGUUUCUCUCUCUCUUUUUUUCGAGAAAGGUUAGCGGGUCAACAAAAUAUAACUUGCGCGGCAUUAAAAUUAAUGCACAACGUUGACGAGCGAUAUUUCGACGUUGUUAUUCGAUGCACAGAUAUUCUGUAUCGCGUCCAUGUCGUAUGACAGAUCUUUUUCCUCGGAAAUGAUGAAACGAGGAAUCCACUCAGGACCGCGCUUAGUCAUUGCUCGUAAACAACCUGUAUACGUAAACAUUGUAAGAGGUUAGCUUAUUAACAUAACCUAGGUUCGUGAAUCAAGGUUGCUCUUCGAGAUCCUCGAAACUUCGCGACGAAUAAACACGAUUUGAAUAUAUACGUCAUAUCUUCGAUUAUCAUCUCCGUUUCUAUUUUCCCCCUUGCAUAAGAUCACAGAUCAAUCUUGUUGGCAAUCAUUUAUUGCGCGCGUAUAUUUAUGUGCGAUUGAUUAAUUAUGAAAACUACGUUAACGUUUUGAUAAAAAGUUCAUCAAAGAUUGAAACACUCGUCGUUAUUAUUAAUUCAACUAACUACUAUCAAUUAUUGAAUAAACAGGGAAAAAAUUUUAAUAGCUUAUUCGAUAUAUCGCGUGAAAAAGAUCUUCCAUUAACACGUUUCUUUUUUUUUUUUUUUCACCAUCGAGUGAAAUCAACGACGAGUCUCUUAACCAGUUUCUUAAUGAAAAAAAAAAAGAAAAGAAAAGGAAGAAAGAUAAUUACAAACGAAUCUACUUCCCUUAUUCCUAACAUUUUCGAUCGUAAUACGAUCCGAUAAUUGAAACACGCAACACGAAGAGUCUGCUCGCCACGAGCAACUGGAUUAAUUAUCCAGGUGAGAAUCGGAAGUGAGAAGGACGCGUUAAGCGGAGCGCGUUAAAGAGAAGAGGGAGGAGGUGUAAUAAAGAAGCAAAGAAAGAAAGAAAAAGGAGAAAAAUGGCGAACGUGCUGGAUGCUCGAGGAGGGGCAAAAAGAGUGAGCGCAAAGUAUUAAUUUAACCGGGCGUACGCGAGGCCGGUAAUCGCGAAUGCGUAUACACGGGCUUCCGGUUUCCGGCGGCGUGGAGGUUAGACCGAAGAAGAAGUCGUGGAAGAAGUGGUGGAAGAGGGCGGGAGAGAGAAGAGGGAGCAUCGUGAACGGAAGUUGAACCGCUUGGACAAGUUCGGGACCGUCCGUUAAACGCGAUUCCUACGCACCACUUCCGGUUUCCGGUUCGUUAGUCAGUCCAGUAUCGUGCACUUCGCUGCUCGUCGUACCCGAUCGUAUCUCUUCUUUUUCGUUCAUCUUACUCCACGCGAACGUUUAAUCAAUUUACGAAACGUUACCCUGCGCGUUUCUUUCUACAUUUGUAUACUUUGUGUAGUUCGUGUCGAGUGAAGAAAGGAAUGUUGCGUGAAGUUGGAGAUCACUGGUUUGAAAACUUGAAAGAUCGAAUAAGUAUUGCGUGUUACUUUUGACGUUAUUAAAGUCGAAAGACUUGCUUACGAAUUAAUUUCAAAAUGUAACAUAAUAUAUUGUUCUGUAGUAAUAUAUAUUUCUCUAUAUAUUUUUACUACUAGAUUAAAUCUUUUUAUAUCUUUUCUCUAUUUAGUCUGAUAGAAUGUUUAAAAUUUGCAACACUCCGUAUUUCAGAAACGCGAUAAAUCGUGAUAAUUGAACACGUGAAAUUUAGUUUGUACACGGUGCAAUUUAUGCUGAAUCGUAAUCUCCAAAUCUCGGUUCAAACAAGAAUUAAUUAAAGACGCGUGCGAAACGAGAUUGUCCCUUAUAAAAAUUCGCUAUAAUUACGGUAUUCGUGCACGAGAAUGAAACUAAACCUUUUUUUCGUCUUUUUCCUCUCUCUCUCUCUUUCUCUCUCUCCCGUUGCAACUAAGCCACGGCACGAUACUUCACGCCGUGUUUAUGUUGGUAGUGGUAACGAAUUGCCGGCCACGGCUUAUGCUUUGCGUCGUGUACACUUUUUGUUAGCCGGCCGUGUAUGUGCGCGCUUCUGCAAAUAUUAUACAAGCUCCUAAGGAUAACGAGAAAAAAUACAGGCGCGAGCCUAAUAUUUCCUCUUUUCCCUCUUCUCCCCACCACCCGGCGCGGAGGCCAUUGUUACGUUUUGAUAAUCGAAACGUACGGGUUUGCGGGUGAAUAAUACUCUUAUUGAUCCACGAGAUUAUCGCUCGAAAUCACAGCGGAAAAAUAAUUCAGCGUCAUAAAUCGGGGUGGAAUAGCGCUUAGAAACUGCCAUGGGAGGGAAAAAUGGUCCAAUUUGUUAUGCUCUCUCUUGUUGUAUCUUCCCCCCCUCUACGGAAACGAUGGAAACGUCUGUUCAUAGGAUAGAACCGACGAGAUUUGUAUGCGCAUCUUCUGUUUGGAAUAUUUAACGCGUCCCAUUUGCUUCGUUCGCUCAAUUUGUCCAUCCCAUUGGAUGAUAUCUAUAAAGAACCAUAUAUAGGGAUAAAUCAAUUCGACCUCGGAUCGCGUCCUAUACGUCCCAUUCUAAUCUUAAUUGAUCGCCGUUUCGUGGAUCUUUUGACUUUUAUCCGCCAGCGUAAUACGUGGAUAGAUAUCAAUCUAGAAUGAGAAACAGAGGGAAACGAGACGUUUAUGGGAGAGAAUUCGAGAAUUUGAUACGAGCGAAGGGGGAAUUCAGCUUUUUUUAAUUUUCCUAUCUUUCGAUUCGCUCUAGUUCUCCGCAAAACGGAUUCUGGAAUCUAUCCUUCUUUAGUUAGCGAGUAGUAAUUUCUUUUACGACUACGAAGACGGUUUUAAAUUUGCAAAAAAAAAAAAGAAAGAACAGAAUUAAAAGUAAAAAAAAGUAAAGCAAAGUUAUACGGCGAUUAUAAUUUUUCUUCGUCGAUUUUAGAUGUUCGAUUUAUUCCAUCGUUUAAGAUCGAUAUUCGAUACUAGCAGAAUUUUUUCCCCUUUCCAUUUUCUACGGUAUUUUUCAAACGGAAACCACAUCCUUCCCUCCCCGACACAUAGCCUGGCCGUUACGGAGCGUCGACGAAAGUUUACGGCGAAUAAUCGGCGUAUAAAGCAUGGACGGAAUUGCUCAAUUUGCAUGAUGCAGUAGUUCGAUGGAAGUCGACGACGGUAAGCAACGCGUAUGCUUGUGCACGAGGCACGACGGAGGAAGUGUAUUAAAGCCAGGGGACUCGUGAAUUGCCUUCUCGCCGUUGACUGAUUCGACGUCCAGCAAAGCUGCUCCGUAGCCUAAUUUUUCACCUGUUCGAUGCGUGCACUACAGUGCCCGAGAAGGCACUGACGAGACUAUUUUUUAACUAAGGAACUAACGCAAGUACGUACGAUAAAAAAGUUAAAAUCGAGUAAUUUUUUCUUCUGUCGCCGUAUAUAAUUUUCCAGAGUUUAGAAGAAUAGGAAGACAAUAGCAAUAGUGUGAAAUAAGAAUACGAUAAUUUUAUUUUCGAUCGAAGUAGUGAAAUUAAUCCUGAUCAACUCGGAUGCUACGCUUUAAUCAUUGCAAAUGUUGCAUCAACCAGUUUCGAUAAUAUCGAGGAAGUAACUAAUUAUUUGAUGAAUAAUUCAUAAAUCGGUCAGGCGUCAAAGACGAGGGAAGCGUAAAGGACGGACCAAGAAAAGGGCUUCGAAACCUCAAUUAGGGUCGCAUGAAGUAUAUCUAUCAACCUUGUUUCGUUAUUGGUGAAGGGAUAUGUAAGUAUGUUGUACACGGCCCUGAAAGUUGGCGGUGUAGUAGGAGGACCUUUAUCGUUGAAGUUGCUUAACUUACGGCCAUUUUAUCUUUGCGUCAAAGUGACUUGCAGAUAACAAAGUAGAAGUCGCGAUUAAAUAAAAAAACGUGAACAUGGAUACAUUGAUAGAUUCAGUUUAUCUAAUUCGAGCUUCUAUUUACGUACACGAUUAUUUUAAUCACCGCGAAUAAUUAUUUUAUCUUAAUAAUUUAUCUCUUCACUACGUCUAAAAUAGUUAAACUAAAAUAGAUACGUAUAUGCAUUUUUCUUUUUUUUUCUUUUUCAGUGAAAAUUAAAUUUUCGAAUACAUAAAUAGAUUAAUACGAUUCGUUCAAUUAUUACACGUAAAAAUGAACGUUGUUGACGCAACGAUUUAGAUAAUCGUUUUUCAUAGCAAUGAAAAGAAAAAACAUUAACGUUGCUUUAACAUAUACUAUAAUCCUUCUAGUAUCUUCAAAAUUAUUUAUCCACUGUCUAGAAAUAUCUGAAAAAUUACAUUUUUUUAAAGAUAACUUCAUUCUUCUUUAAUCUUAUCUUCUUAUAAAGUACAUCUACUUCUUCAAAAGAAGAAAUAUUUCAAAAUCGUAUCGAAAAUAAAAAGUUGAAACAUCAGAUCAUCCAUGUAUUUCUUGGAAAAACCACAAAGCAGAUAAAAAUUAAUACGAAAUAAAAGUAUAUUUGAUGCGAUGUAAUUCCUUCAAAAUUAUUUUAAAAAAUUAUAUUUUCACACCGAAUAUGUGUAUCAAGGACUCGAUUUUCGGAAAAUAAUACCACUUUUGUUUGUUCCAAGAAAACAAAGAGAUGCGCGAAACGAAGAACAACGCGCGCCGUGUAAACACGUUCGUCUACUUGUAACAGGGUUGAGUCGAAAGGAAGGAAGAAUUAUUUGUUAGCGCUUAGGUAACGAGCGACCACGUUCGAGGAAACGAGAGAACGAUAUACGGGAUGGAAUCGCGAAAAGCGAGAUGGAAAUAGGCGUACAAGUUGCUCUGAUAUUGCCUUCUCGAGGACCCGGAGAUUUUGGCUUAAUCUUCUGUGCCGUAACGAGCUCGCAUCGCGUUUAAUUGUUAUUAUUGCGCGCGGACGGAAUCGUGGAUCAAAGAAAUGUGACGCUUAUUCUCUUUUUAAAAUUCUCCUUUUACUUUUCUUUCUCACCACAUUUCUCAUUUCAUUUUCUCGUUACGAUUAAUCAUCGUUGUUCGUAAUUUUCAGUGCUUCUCAAAUUUAUGAGUGACAAUAUUCGACACUUGGAACGAUAUGAUUUUAAUGAUUCUUAAAAUGGCGUGAAAUUGUGAAUCGUGUUUUUGAGAAGAUUAAUCAGAAGAAUGAUGAAAAAAACAAUGGAAGAUUCUAAUAUAAAUAAUAUAAAUAGAUUAAUGCGAAUAAGGCAACCAAGCAAGAGGAUCGUAAUUAACGCCUAAGAUAUCUUGCAAGAGUUUUCCAUUCCCUCUCUAUCUUACUCGUUUUUGAAAACAAAUGUGUUAAUAUCGAGGCAAAUAUCUUUCAUUGAAUCACGCGACUCCCGAGCACAAUUUUCCAACGACACCAAGGUCGAUCGCGUAUCAUCGAGGAGGAAUUACGAGAAAUCACGAGCCCCUGCCACUCGAAACUCGUGGUUCUUUUUCUUUGGCACGAUUGGAUUGCACGCGACCAAUUGGAUUGGUCCGAAGCGGCUGUAAACAAAUGUUGCAUAACGAUUUGGAAAUGGACGAUUUCUUCAUGUUGGUCGGGCUGUAAUGUUGCGUGAAAGUCUUCGAAGUUGCAUGUAUUAACACGAAGAGAAAUCUUGGGCGGAAAUAACAUGCAAUAUACAGGUUAUUUGAAUUCGUUUUCUUCCUUCGACUAGCUCGUCGUAUCACCUCGUCGUGAUAAAAGUGUUAAUCCAUCGUUUUCUUGAUUUCUAUAUAUAUAUAAAAAAAAAAGAGAACGCUGCCAAUUAAAUAUUCCUCCAAUUCGAUGUAGAAAAAUCUCUCCAACAUACUGUUCCUUUCGAAUUCUAAUUUAAUUCUAAAUAAAUAUUCGUAUCUUCUCUAAUAAAAAUUAGAAAAAUAAAGGAAUAGAAUUUCACGAUUACACCAUAUAAUUGACUUCGCAAAUUAGAAUCAUCGAUAAAUGAUAAAUUUCUCAACGUCAAUUGCAAGAAAAGAUGGAACCUCGAAAUAAAUCCUUCGAUAACGACUUUGAUAAUUCUUCUUCUCCCGGCUUCGCUGCCUGGUCAAAGCAUAAAAUAUACGAGUUUUAACCUGUUUUGCCCAACGAACAGACAGGGUCGAAACGCUCUCCGAAAAUUUGGAGCGCAGCACGAAGACACAGUUUCACCGUGUCACGUCGAGUUUCCCUACAACCGCGAAGCUUCCUUGGGAAGCGAGAAGAUAAUGUUUACGUAGGACACGUGAAACGACAUAUAGGGCCACGACGAACGACGAUAAGCUGAAAAUAAUAGGGAACAUGCGCGUUUUCCCCGGGGAGGAAGGCAGACAAAGUUGCAAUGUUGCAUUAAUGUAGUCAGAUAUCGUUUCAAACGUGGCCGCGAUUCGUCCGUUCCGGCGGACUGUUUGUCCUUAUCGUUGUUUCGACGUAAUUAGAACACCGCGCUUGUCUAUACGCUUAUAACAAUUAAAAUUAUCGUUAUACCAUUUCUCGUAAUUGCAUUUUGACCAUGCUCUAUAUCCUUGUCUUCGUUUUUUUUUUUUUUUUAAGGAAAUUUAUCGGCCACGAAUCGGGUUUCUGGAAUUUGGGUUGAUUAAAAAGAAAAAAAAACACGGAAGGAUCGUAGAAAUUUAACGCGCAAUUUUUCCAAUUUGAUUGUGAGCUAUAUUUUCCUUUUAAUUUAGCUUAACUUUUUAAGAGAAAUUGAAUAGCAAUACGUUUGAUAGAUGAAAGUUAAGAUAGAAUUUUUAAGAGAAAAUUUGUCGUUAAGAGAAAGUAGGAUCGCGUUUUUCACGAACAUAAAACUUCCCUCGAUUUACUUAAAUUUAUUAAAAAAACCUGUACCUCUCGGUUAUAAUUUGAACACGCGCCAUUUUCUUAUCUCACUUUUUUAAAAUAAACUCGUAGCAAUGAGCGACACAGACUCGUCGAAAUAUUAUUGACCCGAAAUAUCAAGAAUCCUAGAAAGUUCUUUUACGAUUUCCAAUUAAUUAUAACUCGGCCCGUGUUACGUUAUAUUUUCUCGUUUUAAUUUGAAAGGAGAAAGAAAAGAAGAAGAAAAAAAAAAUCUCAUUAAAUGACAGGACAAAGUAUCAAGAACCCUGGAAAGUUAUCUCGCAACUUCAAUAAUUCUAAGAACUUGACCACGUUCUAUUUUCCUCUCUUGAUUUUCAAGAGAAAUUCGCUCGCAAGAGGGCGGCUCAGUGGCACGGUUCACGUUUCUUGAAUCGUGAGGCGUGGAGCAUUAUUGAUGCAAAAUAUUAAGAACCCUAGAAUAGGUCAGGCGAGAGACUGAUAACAGUGUGAACGUCGCGAUAAGUCCCGUCGGUUCCCUGAAAACUGAACUCUGUCUUUCACUGGUUUUCCCUCGGGCCGAAUGAAUAGAGCGGACCAGCAUGUAAGAACUGUGUCGCGAUAAGCUAGAAACGAGCGCGUAUUUCCCACUGUGAAAAUGUCACUCGAUGUAAAGCACGUCGUUCGUGUUGUUCGCCAAUCUUAUAUACAUAUAUAUAUAUAUAUAUAUAUAUUUUUCUUCCCUUAAUUACGACACGUUUCUUUAAAAUUAUUUUCUUCUUCUCUACUUUUUCUUUUUUCGUUGCGUGAUAUAGAGAUUCUCGCGAAGGAAUUUCAUUUCAUCAAUAGUGAAAAUAACUUUAUCUUGCUCGAAUUACCGGAAACUUCCGUUUCUACGAUAAAUAUUUGUAUUUAUGCGACGGUUUAUCGCUUAUUUACAAGCUUCGAGCUCGUGAACCCGCCUGUGCCGAGGUUAUCGAGGAUGACAAGGUUGUAUAAGUAUCCGUUGACCAUUGUGUGCGUGUGUAUUGGUAAUGUAUAUUAUGUUCAUAAAUGCAUAUUCAUGUGCGUUACACACUGAAAGAAAUAAAGAAAUGUCAUAGGAAUACGCAGGGUGAUGAGCCUUGUAAUGAUUAUUUCAAAUGAUUAUUCGUUUUUUCAGAGGGCAUGUGAGGAUAUCAAUUUUUUUUUUUUUUUAAUAGAAUCGUGUUUAAAAUAGAACUUGGAUUUUAUAAAAAUUAUUACACGAAAGACAAGGAAAACAGAAAUAGAAGAUAUUCAGAAAUUCAAUUUAUUUUUAAUAAUUUUUAAAAUUAUCGCUUUUUACUAUUGAUUUUGAUUCUGAUAAAAAGAAAGAUAUAAUUUGAAUCUAAUAUUCUAUUUGAAAAAAUAAACUUGCCUGGAUUACCUCUUCCAAAAUACCAGAUAUUUUUCGAAUCCAUUUUCUAUCCAUUCUUGCAGAUUCUGCACAUUUCUCACUUAUCCUAAAUAUACAAUAGUGUCCCCUCAUAUCAUAAAAUAUCAUUUCUUCCACAUUUUUCAACAUAUAUAAUUUAAUGUUCCACCUAUCUUCUAUCUUUUGACUGAAGUUAUAAAGAAUUUUAAUAGAAAUUCAGAAGCAAAACUAUCGUUGAAAAUUAACGUAUAGAAUAUACAACAUCUCCUCAACAUGACAUUUAUUAUUAUUAUUAUUAUUAUUCAUAUCACUACAUACAACCACCCAUUAAAUAUAACAGAUAAUUAGAAACAGAAGAACUACUAGAAAUAGAAGAAUGGAUCAAAUCUCGAAACUGGAGAAUUUACAUUCCGUUAUUGCGUUAAGCGGUGCUCGAAACAUCCUCCCCCUCCCCCCUCCAUCCAUCCCUCCAUCCAACUCCAUUGUAUCCACCGUCUCGAGGAAAGGCUGCCACGAUGCAGAUUACCCCGAAUAGCCCGAUAAGACGGCCGAUAAUACGUUUUCUAUUGGCGGUAAGAAGGAAGAAAGAAAGUGCUCCCGUUAUUUCGACGGAUUUCCAUCCGGUCCAACGCCUGCCGUCCCUGGAUAGACCUCUCCACGGCCCUCUGUCUCCUCGAGGACGAGACGUGACCGGUCACCGAUCGACCGAGAUAUCGCCGUCUCGAAUCGGGGAUUUCUUCUUCGGGGGAUCCUCUUAUCGCUGUGUCCAUCUUCGUCCACGCGAAAGGGGGCGAAGGCACGCCCAGGCCUUUUGAAACGGUCAACUGCAUCAGAGGGAUUCCUCGCGUCUCCUCUCCAUAUAGGGCGAGGGGGGAGAGGAAACACGGGGUACAUAGGGAACCAAGUGUAUCGAGGAAAUUGUGUGCGACCCUGAUUUUCUGCGGCGCACAAAGUGACUUUUAGGAUCGGCCGGCCGUUAUCGAUGCGGCCCACACCGCUUUGAAGAAUUCCGCAUCAGCGGAACCGCCGUGAGAUUUAAAGAGAGGGCGGUGUACAAGUUCGGUGAUAACGUUUGGGGAGGUGAAUCGAGGGAAAUGCGGUUGUUUAAUUAAAUAAUCGAAGGGAUCCCGGUUUCGGUUGCCUCGAAUAAAUUUGUGCAGGAUUUUCUUGAACGUAUGAAAAACAUAUAUUGGAAAAAAUAAUAUCACUUUGCGGAUUUUUCGGCAUUCUAUUUAAUAAUCUUUGGGAACACAGAUAUUGUUAGAACUGAGAAUGGAUAAGGAGAUGUGAAUCUUAUAAAUAAUCGAGGAGAGUAGUUGAAUACAAGUGGAAGUUGAAUUAAUUAUUUAAAUACCCUUUAUUUCCAGAUGUGAAUGAAUCGAUGUGAAUACGAAGUAAAUAAAACGAAGAAUUUUUAAUUUAAACGAAGGGUAUAAAUAUCGAGAGAAGACCAGUCAUCCCGUUCCACCACCUCGAUAAUCCCUCAGCGGAGAAGAAUCUGGAUGGAUCAGCGGCGAAUUCUCGAAGAGCUCAUCAAGCUGUGGUGGUGGAACGCAGUGAGAAAGCUCGUCUCGUGGCCAGGAUUCCUGAUCUUUAUCGCGAGCGUGAUCGUGGCCGCAGAUUCAUCGUGGCCAUCGCUGUUCAUCUGGCCUUAAGCUCGAAAUAUCCCUCGAUUCCCGUCCAAAUAAUGGCCCCAUUCGAGCUUGGCGCAACUGGCUCACCCCCUUGUAUCAACGUUCCGCGAUAUUCAUCCGAAUUGAAUCGACUGGCCAGUUCCACCACAGCCGUUCAAACGUAAUCGUUUCUUUCUUUCCUCUUUCUCUCUCUCUCUCUCUCUCUCUCAAUUUUUCGCUAGUUUUAUCCAAUCUGGAGCCCACGUGCGCAUCCGCGAGGUUUGAUGGAAACCGUUCGAAUCGUGGUGAUGGUAAUCCUCUGGGAAUUGUUGGUAUCCAUCUCGACGAGAGUCGAACUUUGCUCGACGUAUAUGUAUACAGGAUUGAUACGUCGCGAGCGAGUUACGUUUAGAGCAUCGAUUCUAGGAAAGCAAAACAAACACGAUUAUUAUUACGCCUAUUGUCAAUAUUAUGACGACGAAUGUAUCGAUAAUAAAUGUUGGAGUCGUGAAAAAUAUAAUGGCUUGUAUAUUUGAAAAAGAUGUGAAAUUAAAGAUGUUGAAGAAAAUGAAAAAGUAGAAUCGAAACAGUAGAGAGAUGGAUAAAUAUAUUUGUGUAUCGAGCAUAACACAAUUGAAGGAUUGGGUUAAAAAAUGGAAUUUCAAUAGAAUUUUUUGGAAAAUACGCUUUCGAAAAAAAUUCGAAACGGCCAGAUUAAAGAUUUCGCUGAUAUUAGAAAGCAAAGACAACGAUUCAAUCAUUCAAAGGAAUGAUAAUUUGUCCAAAUUAUUCAUUGAUAUUGAUUUUAAUUAAACGAGAAACAAAUAUAUUAUCGAAAUCCAAUCAACAUGUAUAAACAAUAUCCAAUGUGUAAACGUCUCGACUGCAACGUCCAAAUUCUCGUCCCCGACAAAAUAUAUAUUAUUACGCGCGAUCUCGCUCGAAUAUAACAGCAAACACUAUCAGCUUAUUAAACCUAAAUAUCCUCCCGUCCACCUAUCACCUACGCCACACACCAUCGUCCACAGAUGCCGACAUUAAUUCCCCCAUUCGCCAUUAUUCUCCUUAUGGCGGAAUGAUCUCUGGUGGCCGCGCGGGACCGGAAACAAUGCGAAGAGGUCCCGGCGGAGAGGCGGCCUGCAAGCCUCGGAGGCGUGAAUGCAAGAUUGCGCUUGUCGGGGCCUUUCGUGAGCCCGCCACCGGACUGGACAAGCCAGAUACGUUGGAACACAAUCCGGCGUCGAGGCCGCUUGUAUCGAAACCUCCCUCCUCCUCCUCCUCCUCCUCCUCCUUCCUUUGCCUCGCGCCUCUUCUCCCUUCGUAACGAGCUUUGAUCUCGCGGUGGCCCUAUCGGUUGCUCGACACCUUUGUGCGCCGGCGAGGCACCACGGGCCCGUGCAAACAGGCCUGAGCCCAGGACCGGCCGUUCGGUUAAAGCCGAACGAAGCCAAGGAGCCUGUUUACACGAUCGGUGUUUGGACACGAAAAACAGCUCGGGAAGGGAACAACAAGGCGAGGCUUGUUCACGGGGAAACUUAUACAUCCUCGUUUCCUGUGGAGGAAAUGAGUAGAUACCUCGUUGGAUCGACAGGGAGGAGGGAAUGGAAAUGUGUUUUUAAUUUAUAUCUUUUUCCCAGGUUGUGGAUUUAUUGUACAUCGCAUGGUAUGGUUCCAUCCACGGUAUUGAAAGAUCGUAGAAAACUUUGAUGAUAUCGAUAAUCAAGUUGAGUUGGGGAAACGAAAGUUGGAAUAAAUUUGGAAAAAGUCUGAGAUAAAUCCGUACCAUCAUCCAUCGAAUUAAAUCAAAAAUUAAAACAGCUAGGCAAAUUUCUUGCGUUUAUAGAGCCUUGUGACUUUUCACGUACGAGAGAGACUUGGAAGGCGCGGAGAGAGAUUCCUCAGAUUCCCAGCAGCCUCUCUGGAUCGAGGCACACGCUCUCUGCGGAGCAUAACAACGACGGUGCCGGGUCCGGAAUCUCCGUGGAAUCAGUUUUAAAUUCGAACUCGCGUCGGUUAACCGUCUUCGGUGAGCGGUUAAAAGGCUGGAGAGAGAGAAAGAGAGAGAGAAAGAGAGAGAGGAAAGGAUCCUCGAAGUGUUCACAGAACGAGCCCUCUCCCUCUCUCUUUCUCCUCAUCUCCCUCCACUCUCGGUCCAGCGACCAGUGGAAUCCCUAAUUGAAACAUUGCCGAAACCCGGUGGGGUCCAGCGCGAAGCAGCCUGUUCCAGGAAUCGUUGCCGGUGAAAAAAAGAAAUUGCUGCCUUCGGACAGGCCCUUGCCGCGCCUUUCUCUCCCUCUCUUUCUCUCUCUCUUUCUCUCAUUCCCUGUGUCUGUCUUUCUUUCUUUCUAUUCCACACGGCCCUGGAUCGUGGCGCGCGUUUCUGUCCGGGGAAAAGGGAUUGGGUCGUUGGUGGGUCCGAGUCGAAGGGAGAAAAACGGCGAAAAAGAAGGGAAGAGAAAGAGAAGAUGGAGAAUGCGGCCAGGAAUGCGUCGCACCACACACAGCGCUCUCCUCCGGCUUCUCGUAAAGCUUCAUUCACAACUAGUCCACUCGAUCGAGAGGAUUUGAGGAGGCGAACCAUCAUCGAUUUUUCGAUACGUCGUAAGUUUCGAUUCGAAACUUUUUUCCCGGAACAGGAAAAUAGCUGUGUUGAACGGAACGAGUAUUCUCGUUUGGAAAUAUUGGAAGAGAAGGAUAAGAUAAUUUCGGAUUUCUUAGGAAUUUAAUUUAUUCCGGGAAAAAGGAUGAAAAAGACGCUUAUGAAUCAUUCUAAUAUUUAAAUGCGGUUGCGGUGGAAUAUAUAUACGGAUGCAGUUAGAUUUAAUCGAAUAAUUGAAUGCAUUUCUCGCGGGAAAUUGAUUCGCAUUGAAUAAAUGUUCCAUCGACUUUUAAUUUCCGUGACGUGGAAAUAAACUAGUAGGCCGAUUACGGUUCUUCAAGUGAAAAACGUUUGACGAAGCCACGGGGAAUCGAUCAAUGCUCCGUUAAAAUUGCAUCUAAUUUACAUUUCACCGGUGCACAAGUUGCAACAAUUCGUGAAUGCGCGUUGAAAGAUUGAUCAGUUCCUCGAUAUAUAUUUAUUCUUGGGAAUCGAAGAAAAAUUUUACGAUCGAGUUUUAAAUUGUUACGCAGCCUCCAAGAACUUCGAGUUGUUCGAACAACUUCGAAGCGACAUUUUUAUCAAAAUGUUUCAUCAACCAAUACUCGUGAUGAUCUCGAUAAACGGUACAUUAAUUAGCAUUGACGAAAAUCAUUGUCCAAAAAUUUUGAAUUAAAUAAGUUCUUUUUUGAAAAA